rnacentral:rRNA from 1 species
AGUGAACGCUGGCGGUAGGCCUAACACAUGCAAGUCGAACGGCAGCACAGUAAGAGCUUGCUCUUACGGGUGGCGAGUGCGGACGGGUGAGGAAUACAUCGGAAUCUACUUUUUCGUGGGGGAUAACGUAGGGAAACUUACGCUAAUACCGCAUACGACCUACGGGUGAAAGCAGGGGAUCUUCGGACCUUGCGCGAUUGAAUGAGCCGAUGUCGGGUUAGCUAGUUGGCGGGGUAAAGGCCCACCAAGGCGACGAUCCGUAGCUGGUCUGAGAGGAUGAUCAGCCACACUGGAACUGAGACACGGUCCAGACUCCUACGGGAGGCAGCAGUGGGGAAUAUUGGACAAUGGGCGCAAGCCUGAUCCAGCCAUACCGCGUGGGUGAAGAAGGCCUUCGGGUUGUAAAGCCCUUUUGUUGGGAAAGAAAAGCAGCAGGUUAAUACCCCGCUGUUCUGACGGUACCCAAAGAAUAAGCACCGGCUAACUUCGUG